AAAACAGGAAGUGUUGGAGAUCGAUGCGGAUCUCUCCAGUCUCUCGAGAAAAUAAGGGAAUGAUGCUAGACCAUUCAAAAAUAUGCGGGGGGUUCUAAAAAUACAAAGCUUAUGUGAAAUGGGUGAAGUUGCCCUUUAAGUAGCAAACGCAACGAGGAACAGCUGAGACACAUUAGGGGAGGGAGCAAUAAUCAACACAGGAGGGAAACACAGGGAAACACACCAAAACACGACACACCAUGACAGUACCCCCCCCCCUUAAGGGUCGACUCCCAGGCUACCCACGACAAGCAAGAAAAACGAAGAAAGUCAAACCCAAAUCGGGUGGGUGGAGGGGAGGCAGGAGGAGGGAAUAAAAAAAAAAAAUGGACUGGGGCAGAGCGGAGGGGUGUCAGGCGGGCGGCCAGGGCAUGGCAGGGAGCCUCCGGCGGACGGCCUGGGGGGCAAGCAGAGGCAGAGUGAAGGCGGAACCCUUCAGGAGGCCGGCGGCAAGGACGAUGAGGGCUCAGUCCCUCAGGAGGCCUGCAGCGGCAAAGAAACCCCUCUGAAGGCCGGCAGCGGCGAAAGCGGAACCCUUCAGGAGGCCGGCGAAGGCGAGGUAGAGGGCGGGUCCCCUCUGGAAAAAGGCCAGGUACAGGGCGGGUCCCCUCUGGAAGAAGGCCAGGUAGAGGGCGGGUCCCCUCUGAAGGAAGGCCAGGUAGAGGGCGGGUCCCCUCUAGAAGAAGGCCAGGUCGAGGGCAGGUCCUCUCUGGAAAAAGGCCAGGUACAGGGCGGGUCCCCUCUGGAAGAAGGCCAGGUAGAGGGCGGGUCCCCUCUGAAGGAAGGCCAGGUAGAGGGCGGGUCCCCUCUGGAGGAAGGCCAGGUAGAGGGCGGGUCCCCUCUGAAGGAAGGCCAGGUAGAGGGCGGGUCCCCUCUGGAGGAAGGCCAGGUAGAGGGCGGGUCUCCUCUGAAGGAAGGCGAGGUAGAGGGCGGACCCCCUCUGGAAGGCGGGACCCCUCAGGAAGGCAAGGUAGAGGGCGGGUCCCCUCAGGGGGAAGGCGAGGUAGAGGGCGGACCCCCUCUGGAAGGCGGGACCCCUCAGGAAGGCAAGGUAGAGGGCUGGUCCCCUACCUGCAGGCAGGCAGGUAGGACCCAGAUGCAGACUGGUAAAGAAAACAGCACUUUAUUUCUGCCAAAAGACUAAGGCAAGGAGCAAGGAGCAAGGGAACACAGGUAGCUACAGAGAAGACGCAG
rnacentral:lncRNA from 1 species